UACGUAGGUGGCAAGCGUUGUCCGGAAUUAUUGGGCGUAAAGCGCGCGCAGGUGGUUUCUUAAGUCUGAUGUGAAAGCCCACGGCUCAACCGUGGAGGGUCAUUGGAAACUGGGGAACUUGAGUGCAGGAGAGAAGAGUGGAAUUCCACGUGUAGCGGUGAAAUGCGUAGAGAUGUGGAGGAACACCAGUGGCGAAGGCGACUCUUGGCCUGUAACUGACACUGAGGCGCGAAAGCGUGGGGAGCAAACGG
rnacentral:rRNA from 1 species